AGAAUUUUCAAGCUAGAGUUCUCAAAUUCUUCAAUUUCUCAUUUGGUUUAGAAUGGAAAAUACUCAAGGAACGCUUGUGAAGGGAUAUAAUUUAUUACAGCGAGAGCAUGAUAUCAUACUCGAAAUUUGAAAGUGAUGAGGCGACGAGAAUAUCGAAACCAUCAUAGACUAUAACUUUAUAGCAGUUGAAUUGAGCAGAUUUGGAGCCUGUUGUUCCGCCAUAUUGAGUCAUACGUCAUAGGUUGUAUGGCCUACUUUACAGUAUAUAUUUCUUUGAGUUAUAUGUAGUUUAUGUCAGAAAAUGUUAUCAUGGGUUCACUGCAUAUUUGGUGUCUUUAGUAUAUUUAAGAAAUGUUGGUUGCAAAGAAAGGAAAUGUUGAUUUGCCGACAUUUUAUUUGAAUAGUUUGUAUUUUGAGGGAUUAGCAUAUCCUAUUUAUAUUAUAGGUAUUGAUUUGAGAAAAAUUAGUUGUUGUUCAGUGGUUUUAAUUUAUAUUUCAAGGGGAAAUUCUGUCAAAAUUUUGUUAAAAAUAUUUUUCAAUCAAGCAAGUCAAGUUGCCUUGGUGGUGGAUCCGAUGUUUACCUGGUUUCUAUCAUCGGCGCAUGACACGUGUCGAAUCCAUUAAGGUGAUUCGGGACGGAUUGUGUCAACCUUUCUGUGGCUUGUAAAACUUCCAAAGAAAGUCACAGAUAUAAAGGGCCUAAAAUACGAGAGAAAAAAAAGACAAAAAUUACUACUAAGAGAGACGCCAUCUAAUCUAAACAGGAAAGUGAAACAAAAAGUUAAAACCAAAAUAAUUGCCUUCACAUGAAGAUCUCAGUUGAUAUCCUCUUAUCUGAAAAUGUGGUUAGAACUGAAGAAACUGAAAGCUAAAUUUUUCUGUGUGUAAAAAGUCCAAAACACCCACACAAAGUUGUGAUUAGAGAUGAAAAAAAAAAAAAAAA